rnacentral:rRNA from 1 species
GACGAACCGUGCGAACGUUAUUCGGAAUCACUGGGCUUAAAGCGCGUGUAGGCGGGAGGGCACGUCCGUUGCUGAAAUCCCCCGGCUCAACCGGGGAACGGGCGCGGAUACGACUCUCCUUGAGGGGCGUAGGGGGACCUGGAACUUCCGGUGGAGCGGUGAAAUGCGUUGAGAUCGGAAGGAACGCCCGUGGCGAAAGCGGCUCACUGGACCAUUACUGACGCUGAGGCACGAAAGCUAGGGGAGCAAACAGG